rnacentral:ncRNA from 5 species
GACUUCAGAAAUGUUCUGAAGUACGUUUU